rnacentral:lncRNA from 1 species
AAUGAUGCCAUUCAUAUAUAUAUAUAUAAUAUAUGAUUUUAUUUUAGAGGGAAAGAACGGGUUACAAAAAGGAAACAGGUAAUUCAAAAAAAAAAAAAAACUAUUUCUCAUCAAAAACAAGACGAUAUAAAAAAUUUGGAAAAUUAUAUUGAAUUUUAAAUUUCAAAUAUCAAAUGACGGGUAUGAUACAUGAAUAUGAAAUUUAAAUAGCAAAAGUAAAUUUUAAAUUACUUAAAUAUUUCAAAUAUCGGGACAAAAAAAAUGGAUACAGAAAGAUAACGGGUAAUUUAAUUAGUUAAUUAUGUACAAGCUUUAUAAUGUUGUUUUUAAAAAACACAUGUAACUGAUUUCAUUUAUAUAUAAAAAUUACGAUCAUAUCUUAGAGGGAAAUAACGGGUAUAAAAAGGGAACAGGUAAUUAAAAAAAAAAGUGUCUAAACUAUUUCUCAUCAAAAACAAGAUGAUAUAAAAAAAUUGGAAAUUUAAAUUCAAUUUUAUCAUUCAAAUAUCAAAUGACAGGUAUGAUACAAGAAUAUGAAAUUUAAAUAGCAAAAGUAAGUUUCAAAUUACUUAAAACUUUCAAAUAUCGGGACAAGAAAUAGCGGAUAUGAAAAGAGAACGGACGAGUAAUUUAAUUAGUUAAUUACAGGCUAUAUAAUGUUAUUUUUAAAACNNNNNNNNNNNNNNNNNNNNNNNNNNNNNNNNNNNNNNNNNNNNNNNNNNNNNNNNNNNNNNNNNNNNNNNNNNNNNNNNNNNNNNNNNNNNNNNNNNNNNNNNNNNNNNNNNNNNNNNNNNNNNNNNNNNNNNNNNNNNNNNNNNNNNNNNNNNNNNNNNNNNNNNNNNNNNNNNNNNNNNNNNNNNNNNNNNNNNNNNNNNNNNNNNNNNNNNNNNNNGUUUCAAAUUACUUAAAUAUUUCAAAUAUCGGGACAAGAAUAACGGAUACGGAAAGAUAACGGUAAUUUAGAAAAUAAAAAUUAUUAUCUUAACUAAGUCUAAUAUUAUACAGAGAGAAUUAUGGGUAACAUUCAAGAAGACAUAUUACUUAUUCAUAUGGGUGGGCCAAAAUAUUUUACUUUGUUGCACGACAUGUAUAGUGAACGGGUUUGACUCUCUUGACAUCUAUAUUUAUGUUAUUUUAUUCAAAAGUUUUAAUGUUUUCUAUUGUUUUUAUGUGAUGUAAUAGUUCGCAAAUUUAAUUGAUUUCUAACUUAUCAUUAAUUUGAUUCACACUCGAUCCGGAUUUCUUAUCAUGUCGGUCCGAAUAUUGCAAACUUUAUGAUAAAUUUAAAUUUUGCAAUCAUCCCCGCACGUACGUGCGGGUCCAUCCCUAGUUCAUAUUAAUAACUAACGCAGAUUUUUGAAAAAAAAAAAAACUAUAACCCAUAUUCUAUUUUAGUCAGCUAAACUAUCUAUAUUAACAUUUUUGAAAUACUUUUUGGAAAGUAACAUUUUAUUUUAUAAUAUUUAUAUAAUUAAUAAAAUGUUUCUAUAAUUAAACCCUUAUCAUUUGAAUAAAUAACAAAAUUUUAAGGUAAAUUUUGUAAUUAAAUCAUAAUAAAAUUGCAUUUCAUAAAUCAACACGAUUAUAGAAACAUAAUUAUGUUUAUGAAAUGAUGUCCAUGAUUUUGAAUUACGUUAUCAUAUUCAAUACAAAUUUCAAAGUGUGAAAUUCUCAUAUUUCAGGUUCGGUUAUCCUUUUUUGUUGUUAACAACAUUUUGUCGGAAUAUCUGUUAAUUGGAUCAUGCCCAAUUGAUUUAUCUGUUAGUCAGAAUUGCAGAUAGUUUUCUUAUCUUCGAGCUUGGAUAGUAUUCAAAAUUUGGGAUUAGGCAGUAUAAUAAUCCAACUAGCUAGAUAUUGACAACAAUUACAUAUCAUAGCACUUCGUUGCGUUUCCCUUUGGUCUGAGCUCCACCAUAGUUAACACGUUUAAGGCACUAUAUAUAUUACUGAUGUAUAUCAGUAUAUGGGAACUGUUUCUGAUAAGUAAGCACAACAUUUGUUUUGAAGCUAUUCAUAUUUUGUAAUUAAAAACUACUUUUCACAUUAGUGUUAUCUCGUCUGCAUGGACAGUUUCAUAAAUGGACUUGUUGGUCUUCAGUCCUAUCCUUAUUAAAAAGAAGACCCCAUAUUUGACAUAAUUGUCCCAAAUAAAUUCACUUUCCAAACCACCACAAGUUUGGUAACAUUAUUAACUUACGAUUAUUGUUUAAGACUAAUUUAGAAAUAUGGUCACUUCAAAUUCAUGGUCAUGUUGUUUGAGCUCACAAAUGCUUGAACCUCGUUCGUGAUGUUUAUAUAUAUGGAGUUUGAAUUAUGUGUUUCAGAAAAUGUAAAGACGAUCAUAUGGUAUGAUAGAUGUUCAUUACCGAUCGAUCGAUGAUAUCGAGAUGUUCAAUGGUAUGACUUUGAAUACAUUUGUGUCACCAGUCACGUGUAACAAGGACCGUUCCAUAAAUGGACUUGAUUGUCGUCUCGUCAGUUUCUGCACUUGAUUACUUAACCCACAUGACUAGAUUGUUGUCAAAUCUUUAUUGGUCCGAUUGUACAAUUCAAGUUUGAAAUAUUUUCCGACUAAUAUUAGUUUUAUAACCUAAAGGCCAAAUGUUAUAGUGGUUUCGUUAAAGGAUUUGCAGCAUAUUAGACUAUCAAACACCAAUAUCUUUCAUUCACAUUACUGAAAACAAAUUAAAAAUCAGACAAUUGAAAUCAAACAAUACCUAAAUUUGUUAAAGGUAAUGACAAUGCUGUAAGUACUCAAUUGUUAUUACAUACUAUUACAACAAAAUUAGUCAUUAAUUUUUUCAAAAUUUAUGUUAUAAUAACGUCAACAUAAAUAUUUCAUCUUUAGAAAAUAUAUAAACCGGAUACAAGAUACUAAAAAAUGUGCUACCUCUUACAUUUUCACUCCAAUGUUCUCUAGCGAUAUAUUGAGUAAAACAAAAUCUAUGUCACUAUGUGACUAUCUCAAAAAAUGGGAAAUAAAGAAUCCUUCAAGCUAAUCCACUAUCAAACGAAGAAGUCCUUACAACUAUCCUCUUUCUUGCUUUGGCAGCCUGCAAUGUCAAAACGACGGCAGCAAGUAACUUCAGGACAGGAGACAAAAAAAGAUUCAUCAAGUGUCAAAAAAGAAGAAGUAAAGAGGUAGCAACUGAGUACUGACCUGCUCAUUCCAGCUCAUGCAAGCAGUGACUAUAGCUAGUAUGAUUCCUUGCGCCGUAGAGCCAACAACCACACCAAUCCAUAGUCCUUUACCGUUCAUGUGACACCAAAAUCCUAAUAAAAUUCCAACCGGACCUCCUAAGAGAUAGUAAGCCACCACAUUUGCCCAAGCUCCUAUAUGUUGCCACCCACUUCCCCUAGCAACCCCUAAAAACCAAAGCAUGUAAAACAUAUUUUGAGUCUAAUAUGAUAGAUGAAGUUUUUGAAUUUUUUAUUACCACCAAGUACUGCCGAGAAUCCAUCGACCAUAAAUGAGAGACAAAGCAAAGGAGAUAGCUCAGUGACAUAGUCCACAACUUCUUUACUGUUGCUGAAGGCGUAACCAAAGAUGUUCCUACAAGUGAAGAGGAGUGUACUACAAAUGGUAGCCUCUAGGAACCAAAGGAAAAUACCGGCAAAUACUGCCAGUCUAGCAACCUCAGGAUUCCCCGCUCCUAACUCGUUUGAAAUCCGUGUGCUGCCAAAGUAAACAUUGUGACUAAUCUAUCUAAACAUUCCGAAACAAAACAUCGAAUCGGUUUUAUCGAUAUCAUCAUACCUUCCAGCAGCCCCAAUACCCAUUGGAAUGACAUAGUGGAGAGAUCCUGUUGUGAGACUGUUAUUGACACAACAACAACCAAGAAGAUUACACUAAAAUAUAUAAUGAAAUGAAGAGUAAAUAUUGGUUUAUAUGAAUUCGACAAAAUGAAAUUUAAACUUAACCAAUAUAUACUCAUUAGACCUAUGUAUUUAGGACACAAGUCUUCCUCAUACUAGAUCUGUAAAAAAGGGGAAACAGAGUUUUCUAGAGAGAAUCAUAGAUUACCAAAUCGAAAGAACCGAGGUCUCGAGUUUCGGGUUAGGGAGGAGUCCUGAGGACAAUACAAGGAACUCAAACAAGGACCAUUCUAUGCUGUACAUAGAAAAAAAAAAGAUCAAACAAUCAAAAAUCAAAAUCAAGAGAGAAGAAAGAAGAGAAUCCACCAAUGAUGAAGAAGAUAAAAUGUUAUUUACCAAGCCAUUGCUGCUGAUGGUAUCCCAUAUUGAAAAAACUGCUUGGCGCUGGACACAAAAUCAUCAGACACAAAGCCACGAGUCUCCACACAAGAGCUUGAAAAUCUCACAUACAAAGCAAGAAUCAACACAUUGAACCAGUAAGACAAACUAAUAGCCAAGGCAGCUCCAUUGCUUCCAAGACCAAACUUGUAGACCAGAACCAAACAAACAGGUAUAUGGAACAAAAGCGUGGUUACGGCACAGUAGAGAAGAGGAAGAACCAAACCCUGAGUCUGAAGAAACCUAGUCAAAGGUUGUUGCACCGCUUGAGAGAACAAAGCAGGUAUAAGACAAACCGCAUAAGAACCAGCUACCCUAGAGAUGUCAGGAUCUUGUCCGAUCGAAACCAAAAGCUUGUCCAUGUAAAACCAGAGAAUCGAUAUGAGUAGACAAAAGGGUACGUUCGAGACUAUUGCAGAGUAAGUAUAAGUCCCGAGUUUAGUGUAUUGCUUAGCUCCAUAAGCUUGACCACAUAGAGUUUCAAGUGCACCCACUAAACCAUACUGCAAAAAAAAGAAGUUUCAAGACUUUGAGAUUAGAUCGGAUCUUGAAACUGGUCAAAACAGAGUAAGCUAGAUAAAUAGUUACCAUGAUGCUAAAGCCGGAGACGUUUGUGAAAGCAGUAGCAAGAGCGACACCAGAGAGCUGGAGUUCGCCACGGUGGCCGGCGACCAUGACUGAGAUAACAGGCAAAAGAUACUGAGCAACGGUCACGGUGGACAUAGGCGCCGCCAUGAGGCUGACGUUCUUUAACUCCGCCGUGAAACUCUUUCUCCAUGUCGGCGUCGACGGCUUAAGACUUCCGGUGUUGGUUACUUGAUCGUCUCCUAGUAAAAGUGGAUCUUCCAUGAUCUUCUUGAAGAAUCUUUAGUUCUUGUCGUCGACCGUGUCUUUACCUAGGAACUUGUGAGAUGAGAGUGCACGAGUUCAGAGAACACAGACAUCUUUAUAUGAAUUAAAAACAGAACACAAUAAACGAGUGGAGUUAAGUAUUUUGUUGGAAGAAAAAGUCAACGCUAUGUGAAUACAUGAUUAAGGGGAGGUGUUCUUGGCUUUAAUAGUUUAAUUAAUUUGGUGGGGAUUUUAGUAGGUGAAUGAAUUAUAAAGAUCUAUAAAUGAAAAAAAAUAUUAUAAAACAAUAACAUUCGGCAGACUGUUUUGCUCGUUCUUCUACGUCACUUGAUUUGUAAGUUUUUUUUUUAAACGAUUGGAACAAUAUUUUAAUAAAUGUUUGGUUGAAAAAAAUAAAAAAAAAAUAACAUUCUACUAUUGGUGAUUUGGUUUAAUUUUAAGAGGAUUUUGGAGUAAUUAGUUGUGAUAAAGUAGUAUCCUAGUAAGAUUUAAAAAAUAUGAAAUGGUCUAUAGGUAACAUUUUGACUAAAUAAUUAAUUCAAGAGUAUAUGUUUGACUUUGAUUCAUGAUUUUUAUUUUUGGUAGUCAUUUAUCCAACAUUUCCACAAAUAAAGAUCAUGACAACUAGCAGAAGAGAGCAAGAGAGACUAAUGCCACACUCACACAUAUACAUAUGAUAUUAUGAUUCAUCAUAGAUUUGUGCCAAGAAUAUGUAUAUCAUAGCUAAUAAAUCAAUCCAUCUUCUUUGGUUUAAAAUAGUGUGGUAAACUAAUGUAACAUGUACCAAUAAACCUUCUUGAUGCUUUUCAUUAUGAUGAUAUUGAUUAGUACUUGUCUUCUUUUCUUGUCUUUUGGCUUUUGCUUUUCAUUCCUAAUUUAAGUUUAACUAAUAGAUUGAUAAACUAAUGAAUACUCCAAAUAUUCUAAUUAAAAACAAGGAAAAUUAUUGAAAUAAAAAUUAAGAAUAUUUGAACUACUUGAAAACAAAAUUUUCGAUCAAAACAUAAUUACCACUGUUAGGAAAAAAAAUUAAUUUCUAAUAAACCAAAGAAAAAUGGUAAAAUUUGAAAUUAAUUAUUAGAUUUUGUAGUAAAUUUAUAGGCAAGUAAAUGAGAAAACUUGAUAAAUACCCCUUUUGGUGUACCCCUUUUCAAAAAUGUUCAUUUCAUCUUUCCCUUUUUAAAAAUACCCUUUUUAAAUCUGAAAAUAUAAAGUUUUAUAUGGUUUAUAAGGUACUUUUAGAUAAUAACUACUAUUGUAAAACUCGAUCCAAAUAUUUAUAAAAUUUUAAAAGGUUUUAAAAUGUUUUUAUAAGGUUUUUAAAAGGCUUACAAGAUCUUUAGAAGUUUUUAAAUGACUGUUAAAAGGUUUUUUUUUUGUAAGUAUUUAUAAAAUAUGUAUAUAAUUUUACGUUACAUAUAAAUGUAAUUUACGUAUAUUUUAUAAACUUACGGACGUAUUUAGAUAAAUUUCAAAAGGUUAGCGGUUUUUUAAAUAAAAUUUAGAAGAUGGAGUAUUUUUAAAAAGUGAUAUUGAAAAGAAUUCUCCCAAGUAAAUUCGUCUCUAACCUUAGAUUUUCAUGAUCCAAUUUGUUAGAACAUUUGGUUUAUGAACAUUUGGGGUCGAGCUAUAAUGUAGAAACGUUCAUUUAUUUGGUUUCAUCUUAUUGGUCAACCAUACUUUUCGACAAUGAACUUUCUUCUGACCAAAAGCUUAACUGGUUCACGUUCAUGUUUAAAUUUAGCUAAAUCCAUAAAUAGAUUAUUUACUAAUCAAAAAUUUAACAUAUAAAUAUCCCACAUUCAUGGCUUUAUUACUCAAAAAAAUUAACUUAGAUUUAAAAAAAAAAGAAAAAAAUGAAUCAACUCAUAGUUUUUGCUUUAGUUAUUGCGUUACAUGUUUCGUUAAAUGAAGCAUGCAACAAAGUAAACAUCGUAGAGAUUCAUAACAACCUCGCUCCCGGUAGAGUUCUCAUGCAUCAUUGUACUGGUAGUAUCAACGAGCAAGACAAAGGUGUUCAAUAUUUAAAGUUCAACGAAGUUUUUCGCAUUGAGUUUUCGGAUGUUUCCAACAGACGUGAAAGGACAGAGUGGAAUUGCUUAUUGAGGCAUGGAGAUAAAUUGGAGUAUCAAUUUAAAGUUCAAGUAUACAGAGCUGCUGCUCUUGAACGAUGUGAUCAGUACCGUUCAUGGACAGCCAAAAACGAUGGGAUUUGGUUUAGAAGAGAUCGUACUAAACCAUCAGGGCAUGUAUUAAACUGGAAAAAGACUUGAUAAGUUUUGUGUUUUUUAUAUAUAUAUAUUUAUUUCGCAUCUUAUAAAUCUAUGCGUAAAAUAAGAGUCACAACAUUUGAUGUUUGGAUAUAUAUAGCAAAGUAUUGUAAUAAAACAUGUGUUUAGUGAUAUAUUGUAUUUGUAUCAAUGUUUUAAAUAAUAACACAUUAUCUUAAUUGAUUGUUCGAGUAAUUAAUUACUCGAUAGACUUAAUUGAAAGGUAGUAUAUGCGAGGUCGAUCCACCUGGAAUAAAAAACAUAUGCUCUAUCACAUUUAUAUUUGAUUCAAUUAAAUUUAAGAACAUAGAUUAGGAGUGAAGUGACCUUAAUCUAGUGGCAAAUGAUAAUUUCACUGAUGGACAGACACCAUCACACCAGAGAUCGAGUCCUGCUCCCUAUAUAUUUGUAGGGAUUAGGCAAAUGUACCAGCCAGUUGUGGCUCAAUAAUGACAGAAAAAAAAAACCUAGAUUAAGAUAGUUUCAUGUAUCCAAAAUUCUAAAGAUGGAUAAGGUCUUGUAAAAAAAAUGUUAUUAUAUAAUUUAAUCCAAGAAAUUAACAUAUGGUUGAUCUGUGCCAUUAUUAAAUCUUAUGAUCAGCACAACAUUACACAAUUGAAGAAUGAUAAACCAAACCACUACGCCAUUCCUUUGUAAGCCUUAAAUUCAAACACAAGCAACUAGGUUUCUUAAAACACAUAUAUAUCAUCAUUGGCACUACUACAUAUCUAGUUAGUCCCUUUUAUGGAUAUAGAUACUUGGAUUUUAGAAAAAUUCAGAGCUUUACUACAAUGGGACUUCUCACACGGUGCUUCUUGUCUGACCAAACCAAUUCUCCAAACACAUAGUCCUUAGCCACAUUCCCUUUAACCUUCACAAGUGUCACUUUAAACGUCUUUUGCUCUCCAACUUUGGUAAAGUUCAAGCUCGUGGGCUUCACCGCGACAUAAACACCUUGUGGGUUAGUCACCCGGACGGUAUAAGUAGAAGGUCGUCCAACGUUUUUUACUGUCCUUGAGAUGGUGAUUUUGCUUGAUGUUAAGUUUGGAACUGUGAUGGAAGGAUAGUUAAGGUUGACAAGACUGGUUUUGGGGCUUGAACAAGUAAAGUUGUUUCCCGAGAAGACCGCGAUUUGUGAUGCAUUGUAUCCUAGGGAGCAUAAGAAGUUGAGGUAAUCUUUGACGCCUGAAUCAUAUACCAAACCGGGGUUCACGGCUAGAUUUGGUUGGACGUGUCCUGCUCCAAAACUGAAAGGUGUUGCCUUCAUGUUGGUUGCAUUUUGGAUAGGUCCAGGGAUGUCAUCCAUUGUUGUUGCUGCAAGGGAAAUAACAAAACACAAGGUAUGAUAAAAUCCAUUUCCAACAAAACCAAGAAAACAGAACAUGGCCUUGGAAGAAACAAGAUUUGGUUACAAGUCAAUGGUGUUAUAUAUAUUCCACAAUAGUAGAAGUUAAUGUGUUUUAAGUGUUAAAGUAUUAGACUUUAAUCUUUUUCAGCAAUGUGUUAGCUCAAGAAUCGAAUACAUUCUUACCGGUAGUCAUGAUGGCAGAGCGGAUAGCUGCGGGGCUCCAAGACGGAUAACGGGUUUUGAGAAGUCCAGCAAUGCCAGAGACAUGAGGACAAGACAUGGAGGUUCCUGAAACAGCAUUGUACAAAAGUCUUCGCGGAUCAAACUGUUCGUUUGUUGGAGAGACCGCACCAGUGUAAGCAGCGAUCACACUCACACCAGGAGCAGUUAUGUCAGGCUUUAGAAUCUCAGGAGCCACAGUGCUUGGACCUUUAGAAGAAAAAGAAGCCAUCACAGGUGCUGGUUUUAAUCCUAAAUCUGUCCUCGAAGGAGUAAUGUGCGCUAUCGGGUUCCUACAUCGACAAAUAAAGCUUUCUUUUAGAACUUGAAACAAGUUAAGUUUUAGUUAAAAGUGACUAUAGAAUCCUACUUGGUUUGGCUAAUGUAUCUUGACACAGCAAGACUGUCCGUAGAAGUGAGCUGUGUGGCUGGAAGGACAUGCGGAUCAGCGAUUAGAUCAUUCCCGGUAACAUUAGUGUUUUCAAGAACCAUCCCUACACCACCGGCUAAAGCCACAGCUCGACCCUUUUCUACCCUCCCGUUCUGUCCUCUAAGACACACCAAUAUCUUCCCCUUGGCCUUUUUAGGGUCAAGCGAUCCAAUUUUGCAUAAUUGUCUACACCAACAGAGAUAUACAAAGUUAAAACUCUUAUCACUUAAAAAAAAAGAACAUAAACCAAAUAAGUAACAAGAUUAGCCAAACUCACGCAUCCAAGGCUGAAGCAUUCUUAGCUUUUGCUCUUAUAGAUGACAUUAUUGGAUAGAACUUAGCAUGUGGCAACACUGUGGAUGACAAACUUUGUCCCUAUGAAUACAUAAGAUUCAAACCUCAAUAUCAAGAUUUGAGAAUUUUGAUAUGAUUCGAUAUUUUUUUUGGACUUUUAAUCAUAAGUCUAACCUUAUAAUGCUUUCCAUUACCAAGCACAAGGUUGCUAGCAAAAACACGGUCCAUGGUACUAGCACCAACGGUGAUCUGCCACGGCGCGACGUUCGAAACCGAACCAUCGACCGGACCAGAGUUUCCGGCCGAGCAAACAACAACAAUCCGCUUCUUAGCUGCAUGAAACGAACCAAUAGCUACACUGUCGUUAAAAAACGAUGUAGCCUCGCCGCCUAAGGAAACAGAGAUGACGUCAGCUCCGUCGUGUAUGGCGGCGUCGAAAGCUGCGAGGACGUCAGCGUCGUAGCACUCGUUGCCUUUGACCGGUGGCCAACAGACUUUGUAAGCGGCGACUCUAGCACGUGGUGAGCCACCUUUGGCUGUGCCGUUGCCUUGGCUGAAAACGCUGACUCCGGGGACGAAAGCUCCGGCGGCGGUGGAGAGAGUGUGGGAGCCGUGACCGUCGAGAUCACGUGGAGACUCGAAGGUUGAGUUGAGAGGUCCAACGGCAGCUGCGUAGCCUUUGUGGAAGUAUCUUGCUCCUAUCAGUUUCCUUCAUUCACAUUUGUUAUGUAUUAGCUUAAUUAACAUUUAAGUGUUAUAUUACUUUACAAUUAUACAAGUUUUACUUUAAAAAUGUUUUAAUGCUUUUUUUACUAUAGCAAAGUAUAUUUUAAUUUUUUACAGGUUUUUAUAAAAUAAAUAAUAAAAAAUAAAAGUAAUAUAUUACAGAGUAUCAAUUUAGUUUUUUUUUUCCAUGUAAUUUAAAGGGAAUCAUAUAUGAAUAUUUUUGUUUCUUUUUUCUUUUUGGGAUUCCAUUUCUAUCUUUCACCAAGAAAAACAGAUAAAAAAGAAAAGUUCAGAAUCAAAUGUCUAAGAUAAGUAAAGAUUCUACAAAAGUGUUCGAUACUUUUAACAACAACAAAAAAUAAAAUAAUAUAUAUGGUCGAUAACUAUAUCCUAAGUGUUAAGUAAGAAAUUGAUGGGAAAAAAUAGUGUUAUUUAUUUAAUUUACAUGUUAUUUUAUUUUAAUUAUAUUUCUUAAAAAAAAUGUUCUUCAAUAUUAAAAAUUGGUAUCUAGAAAUAUAUAUAUUUUUUUCUUAUUUAAAGGUAAUAAUAUAUAGUCUUAUCACUCAAGGUUGCCCAUCAAGAGAUGAUUUAUCGAAAGUUCCAAAAAAUGAGUUCUAUUUUUGAUGACUUCUUUAUAACUACAAGUCUACAACACGUGUCUUCUUAUUGUUUAAUGAGAAUUGUGAAUUCUUCGAUUUGUCCCAUUACUUAAUUCAACCACUAGGUGUAGUCAAACUCCUAAAAGUUGUGAACAGAUAAUUCCAGAAUUUGUUUAGUAUCUUAUGAUAAUGAUAAUUCUACUUAACGUGAAAAUGAUUGAACAACCAAUUUGAAAGAACAAAAAGAGAAAAAGAGAGAAAGGAACCUAUUGCAAUGGAAAGUGGCAUCUUUUUGGUUUUGACAUAUUCCUUUCCAUCUUGAAGGUAUUGGUCCCAAGCCUUCAUCUCUAAAGCUCUUUGAUUCUGGCCACACACCUUUUAUACACACAACACAAUUGAUUCUUAUUAAUACAUAGACAAUUAGUGUGGGAUUAAGUUAUCAAAAAUGUAUUAUGGUGUCUCAUACUAAUCACACAACCAAUCAUUUGGUUAUGUGGCAACUUUGAUUGCUUUUAUGAAUCAAUAUGAAAAUGUUCUAGUUCUCAUGCAUAUCCCAACUUUUGAAGUCCAAAGCAUUUUGUAUUCUUUAAACACUUUUGAAAGUACAGAUUCGGUAAGAGAAAAUACGUUUCUCGAACUAGAAACUCCAAUUAUUAACCUAAUAAUAGAAAGUGUUUCUUUACUAAACACACUUGAAAAAUCAUCUAGCUAAAAGCCUAAAACCGAAUUAAUGAUUAUGAAAAGCUAAAUUACAAAAUCUUUAAUUAGAUCACAUGCGCUAGCUAAGUUGAAUAGUUGGUUCAUCAUCUACAAAAAUGGUAAUUUAGAUUAUUGUAACUUUUUUACUUCUUUGAUCGAUUAGGAAAUUAUGGAAACACUUAGGUCCAUAGUCUUUUUCGUCCAGGACCAUGUGAUUUAUACAUUUCUUUCAAACAAGGUUCAAAUUAGAGUAGAUAGAUAGAGCAAUCUCCUUCAUUAAUUGAUGCUAAGACCACUAGACUACCCACUUGUUACAUAACUUUUUUUGAUAUUUUGAAAAAACUCAAGUCAUUAGUCAUAACUACUAUAUUUAGAUUGCGUUAACUUUAUGUUAAAAGACAAUUGCCUCGUGCCAAAACACAUUACUUGUACGAUGAGUUCUUCACUAACUUUUCUACUCCCUAAAUUUGUAUAGAUGGAAAGGUUUCUAUUUAUAUAUCUGAUAUUUUGUUAAUUCAUUUGCAUAGCUUAUUGUGAAUAAUAAUAAGUCAAACUAUACGAUACAUUCAACAUAUAUAAUAUUAAAGAUGAUAGAGAUGCAUAAGCCUAGUUGAAGAGAAGAGAAUAUGAAUAUUAAUGAAUAUGCAUAUGCGCACAUGCGUGCAUAUAUAUAUAUGGCUGAUUUGAUUCUUGCUGACAUCUAGAGAUCAUUAACUACUACUAAUACUAGCUUAAUCAAAUUCACAAACGAAUAUAUAUUUCUUGUAAUGCAAGUUUGAAAAUAUAUAUAUUUUUUAAAGUAAGGUACGUAUCUUCCCAAAAACCCAUCUAAAGUCUCCCGAAGUUGCAAAGGUUGACUAAGAAAAAAAAAUAGAAAUAUUAAAAAAGAAACAAACCCGUAUCGAGAUUUGCGAUGAUGGUAUCUUCUCCGAAUCUAGCUUUUUUCCAAAUGGAAGAGGAAGGGACGUAAGAGUUGUGUUCUAAACCUAAGAAGUCCCAUGAUCUUGUCGUGUGGAGCUUCAAGGCUUUGUUUGGGAAGACAGACACAACUUCGGGGUGUUCUUGAUGUAUAAUCAAGAAAAGAGAAAACAGAGUUAACUCUUUAAGCACAAACAGAGAAAAAGACAAAAGAAUGUAAUGUUUUUGUAUACUUACUUGAGAUUGCAUAUGCGAGGUCGUGGUCUAGAUGAGCAGCAAACCCGUUGAUGUGUUUUGUGUACGAGUAGAAAAUGUCGUUCGUAGCUUUCUCAAGGCUGUUUCAACAGAACCAAGAGUUAGUUAAGUCAGUGAAAAUGGGUAAUAGAUUAAUAAUGUGUUGUUUGGUUUUAAAAGGAACCUUCCGGUGAAGGAACCAAGAAAGUCAUAGUGUGUUUCUUUGACACGAUCCAUGGCAUCUUCUGUUAUCUCUCCGACAUGAGAGUGAGCUCCAAAGUACACCACAUAUGAAGAUGAGGACUGAAAUCAAACAAAACACUAGUUAAGAGAUGAAUGUGGAAUAAAAGAGUGUGUUAUAUAGUGUAAAUGGGUAAUGAAAUGUACAUCUUUAGAAGCAAGGAUGGGGUUUGAAGCUAGAUGGAGAAGAACAAGAAGAGAGGGAAGAAAAAAUAGCUUCAUUCUUCUUCUUCUUCUGAUACUCUCACAAUGUAUUUUUUUGUUGGACUUUUUAAGUUUGGGUUGUGCAUUGUGUGUUGCUUGCUUCUUUAUAAAGAGAGUUAGUUUUUUAUUUUCCAUUUUUAUUGUUUUUGUAAACUAUUUUGGUUGUGCCGUGUUAUGUAAAACUAAAAGUAAAGAAACAAUGAAACCCUUUUUAGAACUUAAAAAAAAAACAAUACGUUAUAUAAUACUCAGUUCCUAAAAGAUAAUUUUUCUAAUUUUUUAUACAUAUUAAAAAAACAUCUAAAGUUGAUAAAAAAUUGUAUCAUUUUUUGUGAUUCACGGAUUUUUUAGAACUCUAAACCAAUAAUAUUUUGUUAUUUAUCUUCAAAUUGAUAAGUUCUAAUCAAUAACGCAUUGAAAACUUAAAACAAUAAUCUUUUUGAAACAAUUUUUUUUAAUAUCUUUUAGGAAUAAAAGGAAUAUCUUUUUAAAUAAGUGAUAUUAUGAUAUCGUUUUCUAUUCGAAAUAAUCAAAUACUAUAGUUUUAUAUGAAUAUGAAUUUGUUGCUGAAAAAAGGGGAAGCUUAGGGGUAAUAAGGUGGUUUUGGAAUAAAAAUGAUAAGGUGCUCAAGUGGUCACAUUGCGUCACAAAUAAUGGAGUUUCCAUUGAUGCUAUAUUUGGCAGCUAAAAACUGAUAACUUGUGACUUGUUGGUUGGUUCUAAUCUAAUCAUUUGUCUUCUCUAUACUUAAAAGAAGAAAACCUUAUGGCUAAAAGAAAUUGUACUCUAUUGAUAGUAAAAAUAGGGAAUAGCUAGCACAACACAACAAUAGAUGGGCUAAAACAAAGGGUUAUGAAGUGACAAGGAAAAAUUGGAAAACUAGAUGAGUAAAAAAGAUGAACUGUGCUAGCAAAAAAAUCACUUAAUUAAAUAUUUGAAAAUUGUAUCAUUAGAGUUGAAUAUUGCUAUAUAAAGUUUUUAAAACAUAUAUAUCUGUCUAAAACAUGUGGAUAAUCUGAACUACGUACAUAUUGUUUAUAAUUAUUUUUAAAUAUGUAAUGGUUAAUUUAAUUAGAGUAUAUUAAGGUAGUAAAUCAUUUUUCUGCUAUUAGACUUUACUUCCUAUGUUCCUUUUAUAGAUUGAUGGUUUGACAUUUUCACACAUAUUAAGAAAAAAAAAAAACCAUUAGAUAACAUGUCAUGUGGAGAAAACAUAAAAAGUGAAAACAUAGUUUCAGGAUUUAUAAAUAUUCAAAUUCAAUAUUUUUAGGAACAAGAAGAAAUCCCAAAAACAUCCAUCUACUAUGAACACAAGGAGUAUGAAUCUUCUCUUACUGUGAUUUUUGGCACUUUAAGCCAGAUUUAGGAUAUUUUGGAUUGAUUUUGUGUUUUGUCUAAAUGAUCCAUAGAUGAGUAAGACCACUUGUUGCUAGGCCCAUACUCAAGUAUGACACACUUGAUACAUGUGGUCAAACAUGUAGUAGUCAAACAGGGAGAAAUCUCGACCAUGAUGUUCAAGUCAUGGAUUUUUUAAAAAUUUGUAUGUUUUUAAGUGUUAAAUGUUUGAAGGUUGUGGUCGUGAAUAUAGUUUUAUAAGGGUAUAUAUACGAUCAUGGACAUGAGACUGAUUAGGAGUGAUAGCUGCAUGAAGUCUACGAACCACAUGGAUCGAAGAGUCGAUCGCACAUGACGAAGAGGGAGUUUGUGAUUGAUGAUUCAGAAUUUCAUCGUUGACGGCUCAGUCUUGAACCUCCGGCGAAUGCAUUCUAAAACUAUAUUUGGUCGUAAAUAGGUGUUUUAUAUUCUGCAUUUGUCUUUCUUCUUUUACAACUUAUCUGGCAAGGACAAUAAAAAACGUCAUCGUUUCAUGUUAUUCCCGCAGAUUCAUUGCUUGGUUAAAUGGAUGGACCAAAAAAUUGGUUUAACUACCUUUUAUGCUUCCAUGAUUUUAUCUUUUUACCAUAUAACCAUAUUUAUAGGUUUCUAAUCUUUGAUUGUAACCUAAACUAUUUUCAUUAUCUAUGAAAUAUUUACGAUUUUACAAAAAAAAAAAACAAAAAAUCUGCAAACCACAUGAUUCUCUAAAAAAAACGUUUUAAACUCAUAACAAUUUCUUACAUUUGUAGCAUAUUAACUCGCAUUAGUCGUUGAUCUAUUCCAUGACCACGAUUGUUUAUUUUGCAUGUUUAUCGAC